UCCUCGUUAGUAUAGUGGUGAGUAUCCCAGCCUAUCAAGCGGAGACCGGGGUUCGAUUCCCGGACGGGGAG
rnacentral:tRNA from 1 species